GAUGGGAGCUACAUGGCGCAUAGUCUCAUUUACAGUGGCCACCAAUGGAUAUUGGGGCACACCUAUGGAACAUGUCCUGUUAGCUCGCCUUCUUGGAGGGUGAUCAGGAUAAGCUUGAAAGAUAAAUAUUUGCCAGGCCGACCAAGUGGCAGUGGCAUUACAUGCAAUAUUUGAGUCUGAGCAAAGAACUGUGGGGAAAAUGAAAAGAUGGAACUCGUAUUCUGAGCAUUUAUAAUUGAAGACAGACCCCAAGAAUAUUUGGGAAGGGGAGAAAUGGUGUGAGUCUAGGAGGAAGUGUUUGAGGUGAGUACAGAUUUCACCAUCAAAGUAUAAUAACGAAAUGACUCUAGUGGCCGUGAAUCCAAGAAUUAAAUAGGUUACAACAUGGACAGUGACUCUAAGGACAUUGUCAAGGUGCAGUGUUUCUUCCUACCAACCAGCCAGCCAGUUUUUAGAAGUUAGGAAUUUAGCUUGAG
rnacentral:lncRNA from 10 species